GAUGAACGCUGGCUACAGGCUUAACACAUGCAAGUCGAGGGGAAACGACGGGGAAGCUUGCUUCCCCGGGCGUCGACCGGCGCACGGGUGAGUAACGCGUAUCCAACCUGCCUCUGACUGAGGGAUAACCCGUCGAAAGUCGGCCUAAUACCUCAUGGCAUCGUCUGCGGGCAUCCAACGACGAUUAAAGAUUUCAUCGGUCAGAGAUGGGGAUGCGUCUGAUUAGCUUGUUGGCGGGGUAACGGCCCACCAAGGCGACGAUCAGUAGGGGUUCUGAGAGGAAGGUCCCCCACAUUGGAACUGAGACACGGUCCAAACUCCUACGGGAGGCAGCAGUGAGGAAUAGUGGUCAAUGGGCGAGAGCCUGAACCAGCCAAGUAGCGUGCAGGAUGACGGCCCUAUGGGUUGUAAACUGCUUUUAUGCGGGGAUAAAGUGAGGGACGUGUCCUUCACUGCAGGUACCGCAUGAAUAAGGACCGGCUAAUUCCGUG
rnacentral:rRNA from 1 species